rnacentral:rRNA from 1 species
UACGGAGGGUGCAAGCGUUAUCCGGAUUCACUGGGUUUAAAGGGUGCGUAGGUGGGCAGGUAAGUCAGUGGUGAGAUCUCCGGGCUUAACCCGGAAACUGCCAUUGAUACUAUCUGUCUUGAAUACCGUGGAGGUGAGCGGAAUAUGUCAUGUAGCGGUGAAAUGCUUAGAUAUGACAUAGAACACCAAUUGCGAAGGCAGCUCACUACACGAAUAUUGACACUGAGGCACGAAAGCGUGGGGAUCAAACAGG